GGGGUUGUGGCUCAGUGGUAGACUGCUUGCUGAGCACGCAUGAGGCACUGGGUUCGAUCCCCAGCACCACA
rnacentral:tRNA from 1 species